rnacentral:misc_RNA from 1 species
UCUCCGUUGGUGAACCAGCGGAGGGAUCAUUACCGAGUUUACAACUCCCAAACCCAAUGUGAACCAUACCAAACUGUUGCCUCGGCGGGGUCACGCCCCGGGUGCGUCGCAGCCCCGGAACCAGGCGCCCGCCGGAGGGACCAACCAAACUCUUUCUGUAGUCCCCUCGCGGACGUUAUUUCUUACAGCUCUGAGCAAAAAUUCAAAAUGAAUCAAAACUUUCAACAACGGAUCUCUUGGUUCUG